AGCGGGGUAGAGCAGCCCGGAUUAGCUCGUCAGGUUCAUAUCCUGAAGGUCGACGGUUCAAAUCCGUCCCCCGCAACCA
rnacentral:tRNA from 1 species